ACCUACUGUUUAAUUUUGAGGGUUCGUUUUACGAAUACUCAAAAUUAGCACUUUAAGCAACAGAAUAAACUGAACGCAUGUGAAGUUUGUUUGUUGGCGACGUGCUUUAGCACUUUAAGCAACGGAAUUUAUUCGUUGGCGCUGUGCGUUAGCACUUUGAAAACUGCAUAUAUAUUUAGUGAUAUGACAUCUAAUUUGUAAUAUAUAAAGCUGAUAACUUUUUAAAAUUAUCGAAGUUGAUAGCUUCUAAUCUAUCAAACCUUUUUAACUGGUCAA
rnacentral:misc_RNA from 1 species